rnacentral:rRNA from 1 species
GUGGAAGUAAAAGUCGUAACAAGGUCUCCGUUGGUGAACCAGCGGAGGGAUCAUUACCGAGUU